rnacentral:rRNA from 1 species
AAGCAUAUCAAUAAGCGGAGGAAAAGAAACCAACAGGGAUUACCUCAGUAACGGCGAGUGAAGCGGUAAAAGCUCAAAUUUGAAAUCUGGCUCUUUCAGAGUCCGAGUUGUAAUUUGUAGAAGAUGCUUCGGGUGUGGUUCCGGUCUAAGUUCCUUGGAACAGGACGUCAUAGAGGGUGAGAAUCCCGUAUGUGACUGGAUACCUAUGCUCAUGUGAAGCUCUUUCGACGAGUCGAGUUGUUUGGGAAUGCAGCUCAAAAUGGGUGGUAUAUUUCAUCUAAAGCUAAAUAUUGGCCAGAGACCGAUAGCGCACAAGUAGAGUGAUCGAAAGAUGAAAAGCACUUUGGAAAGAGAGUUAAACAGUACGUGAAAUUGUUGAAAGGGAAGCGCUUGCAAUCAGACUUGCACUUGGUGUUCAUCAGGGUUUCGUGCCCUGUGUACUUCAUCAAGUUCAGGCCAGCAUCAGUUUGAGUGGUUAGAUAAAGGCUUGGAGAAUGUGGCCCUCUUCGGGGGGUGUUAUAGCUCCAGGUGCAAUGUAGCCUACUUGGACUGAGGACCGCGCUUCGGCUAGGAUGCUGGCGUAAUGGUUGUAAGCGACCCGUCUUGAAACACGGACCAAGGAGUGUACCUAAUAUGCGAGUGUUUGGGUGUUAAACCCAUACGCGUAAUGAAAGUGAACGCUGGUGAGAACCCUUAAGGGUGCAUCAUCGACCGAUCUUGAUGUCUUCGGAUGGAUUUGAGUAAGAGCAUAUUGGGUGCGACCCGAAAGAUGAUGAUCUAUGCGUGAAUAGGGUGAAGCCAGAGGAAACUCUGGUGGAGGCUCGCAGCGGUUCUGACGUGCAAAUCGAUCGUCAAAUUUGCGCAUAGGGGCGAAAGACUAAUCGAAUCAUCUAGUAGCUGGUUCCUGCCGAAG